GAUGAACGCUGGCGGCGUGCCUAAUACAUGCAAGUCGAACGAAGAACUCUUGGUACUUGUAUCGAGAGUUUCUUAGUGGCGAACGGGUGAGUAACGCGUUGGUGACCUGCCCCGAAGUGGGGGAUAACAGAUCGAAAGAUCUGCUAAUACCCCAUGUCGUCAUCGAGUUUAGAAAUCGAUGAUCAAAGGAGAAAUCCGCUUUGGGAGGGGCCUGCGUCCCAUCAGCUAGUUGGUAGGGUAAUGGCCUACCAAGGCUUCGACGGGUAAGGGGCCUGAGAGGGUGGCCCCUCACAAUGGAACUGAAACACGGUCCAUACACCUACGGGUGGCAGCAGUAGGGAAUAUUGCACAAUGGGCGAAAGCCUGAUGCAGCAACGCCGCGUGUACGAUGAAGGUCUUCGGAUCGUAAAGUACUUUUCAGGGAGAUGAGAAAGGACAGUAUCCCUGGAAUAAGUCUCGGCUAACUACGUGCCAGCCGCCGCGGUAAGAC
rnacentral:rRNA from 1 species